GUUUCAGCCAGAUGAGCUCCGUCCAGAGUCUGUCCAUGUGCAGUGGGCUGCCACCCGAGGGGGUACUGGGAGGCCAAAUGGGGGCGCCGUCAGACGAAGGGGACGUGGGGGAGGGCUGCAGCGUCCGCUCUGUGAGCCCGUCCCCGGUGGACCUGCCGGGCGCUGCGCCGGACGUCAGCCCAGCUGGGUUUGUCCUGUUGGAUGGCGACAGUGUGGACGGAGCACCGCACCACACCUCGCCCCUGGAGUCCAUCACCGAGUUGGAGGAGACACAGGAGUCUCCUGAGGGUCGGAGCACGGAGGUUGGAAUGCAGAGCUACAGUGGAAGCCCCCCGCUAAAGCUUGGGGAGAGGGAAACUAUGGCUGGGGACGCUUUGAAGGAUACGGGAGAUGUUUCCCACUCAACAGCCGGGGACACCCGAGACGAGAGGGACGAGAUGAAGACCCCGUCGGUAGAGCUUCUAAAGGCCCCGAAAGGCACCUCUUUAAAUGGAUUCUUCAGGGUAGAAUCUGGAGAAAUCACCCCAGGGGUCACUUGGGAAGGAGGAGAGAGCUGCUCCGUGAGCAGGACCCAAACACACCUGCAGCUCGGCGGACCAAAGUGGACGGAAUGCCACGAGACACGCCGUGACAUCCCCCUGCAGGACCCCCAGAAAGAGAUGAGUCAUGUGUUCCUCAAGGCAAUGGGCUCGAGGGAGAGGGUUCGAGAGCUUAGUGACGAGAGUCCUGGCCGAAGGAUCGAGCAGCCGGAGGGUGAUGUAUCUGAUGGCUCUCUUAUCGCCGUCUUGACAGAGUGCAAAUCCAAAGUGGAACAGCUGGAGGAGCUCAAGUGUACAUCGAUGGACCUGAGAGUGCAGGAAACACAGAGGUGAUGGUGACAGGUGGACUUUAUGGAGCUGUCAGGAGAUCAGGAGAGAAGGGGCUCCGGAAGAGAUGGGUUUGAGCCUCCGCUGGAAUGCUAGGAAGGAUUCAGCAGCUCUGAGGGCCACAGGGAGCUCAUUUCCCCACAUUGGUGACAAAA
rnacentral:lncRNA from 1 species